AGUGAACGCUGGCGGCAGGCCUAACACAUGCAAGUCGAACGGCAGCACAGUAAGAGCUUGCUCUUACGGGUGGCGAGUGGCGGACGGGUGAGGAAUAAAUCGGAAUCUACUUUUUCGUGGGGGAUAACGUAGGGAAACUUACGCUAAUACCGCAUACGACCUACGGGUGAAAGCAGGGGAUCUUCGGACCUUGCGCGAUUGAAUGAGCCGAUGUCGGAUUAGCUAGUUGGCGGGGUAAAGGCCCACCAAGGCGACGAUCCGUAGCUGGUCUGAGAGGAUGAUCAGCCACACUGGAACUGAGACACGGUCCAGACUCCUACGGGAGGCAGCAGUGGGGAAUAUUGGACAAUGGGCGCAAGCCUGAUCCAGCCAUACCGCGUGGGUGAAGAAGGCCUUCGGGUUGUAAAGCCCUUUUGUUGGGAAAGAAAAGCAGCAGGUUAAUACCCCGCUGUUCUGACGGUACCCAAAGAAUAAGCACCGGCUAACUUCGUG
rnacentral:rRNA from 1 species